rnacentral:rRNA from 1 species
UACGUAGGGUGCGAGCGUUAAUCGGAAUUACUGGGCGUAAAGCGUGCGCAGGCGGUUUGCUAAGACCGAUGUGAAAUCCCCGGGCUCAACCUGGGAACUGCAUUGGUGACUGGCAGGCUAGAGUAUGGCAGAGGGGGGUAGAAUUCCACGUGUAGCAGUGAAAUGCGUAGAGAUGUGGAGGAAUACCGAUGGCGAAGGCAGCCCCCUGGGCCAAUACUGACGCUCGUGCACGAAAGCGUGGGGAGCAAACAGGAUUAGAUACCCUGGUAGUCCACGCCCUAAACGAUGCCAACUAGUUGUUGGGGAUUCAUUUCCUUAGUAACGUAGCUAACGCGUGAAGUUGACCGCCUGGGGAGUACGGUCGCAAGAUUAAAACUCAAA